GUGAGGUUCUGAGGAGCU
rnacentral:miRNA from 1 species